rnacentral:rRNA from 1 species
UGGGGAAUAUUGCACAAUGGGCGAAAGCCUGAUGCAGCGACGCCGCGUGAGUGAAGAAGUAUUUCGGUAUGUAAAGCUCUAUCAGCAGGGAAGAUAAUGACAGUACCUGACUAAGAAGCCCCGGCUAACUACGUGCCAGCAGCCGCGGUAAUACGUAGGGGGCAAGCGUUAUCCGGAUUUACUGGGUGUAAAGGGAGCGUAGGUGGCAUAGCAAGUCAGAUGUGAAAGCCCGGGGCUUAACUCCGGGACUGCAUUUGAAACUGCUAAGCUAGAGUACAGGAGAGGCAAGUGGAAUUCCUAGUGUAGCGGUGAAAUGCGUAGAUAUUAGGAGGAACACCAGUGGCGAAGGCGGCUUGCUGGACUGUUACUGACACUGAGGCUCGAAAGCGUGGGGAGCAAACAGG